AUAGCCAUGCAUGUCUCAGUACAUGCCGAAUUAAGGUGAAACCGCGAAUGGCUCAUUAAAUCAGUUAUGGUUCAUUAGAUCGUGGACACAUUUACUUGGAUAACUGUGGUAAUUCUAGAGCUAAUACAUGCAAACAGAAUUCCUCUCAGAGAUGGGAGGAAUGCUUUUAUUAGAUCAAAACCAAUCGGUGGCGGACGGCUCGUCCGUUCGUCCAUCGUUUGUUUUGGUGACUCUGAAUAACUUUGUGCUGAUCGCAUGGUCAUCUAGCACCGGCGACGCAUCUUUCAAAUGUCUGCCUUAUCAACUGUCGAUGGUAGGUUCUGCGCCUACCAUGGUUGUAACGGGUAACGGGGAAUCAGGGUUCGAUUCCGGAGAGGGAGCCUGAGAAACAGCUACCACAUCCAAGGAAGGCAGCAGGCGCGCAAAUUACCCACUCCCGGCACGGGGAGGUAGUGACGAAAAAUAACGAUACGGGACUCAUCCGAGGCCCCGUAAUCGGAAUGAGUACACUUUAAAUCCUUUAACGAGGACCAAUUGGAGGGCAAGUCUGGUGCCAGCAGCCGCGGUAAUUCCAGCUCCAAUAGCGUAUAUUAAAGUUGUUGCGGUUAAAAAGCUCGUAGUUGAAUCUGUGUGUCACAGUGUCGGUUCACCGCUCGCGGUGUUUAACUGGCAUUAUGUGGUACGUCCUAUCGGUGGGCUUAGCUCCUUGCGGGCGGUCCAACUAAUAUCCCAUCGCGGUGCUCUUCACUGAGUGUCGAGGUGGGCCGAUACGUUUACUUUGAAAAAAUUAGAGUGCUUAAAGCAGGCUACCUUUGCCUGAAUACUGUGUGCAUGGAAUAAUGGAAUAGGACCUCGGUUCUAUUUUGUUGGUUUUCGGAACCCCGAGGUAAUGAUUAAUAGGGACAGAUGGGGGGCAUUCGUAUUGCGACGUUAGAGGUGAAAUUCUUGGAUCGUCGCAAGACGGACAGAAGCGAAAGCAUUUGCCAAAAAUGUUUUCAUUAAUCAAGAACGAAAGUUAGAGGUU
rnacentral:rRNA from 1 species